UACGGGGGGGGGCAAGCGUUUGUUCGGAAUUACUGGGCGUAAAGGGCUCGUAGGUGGCCAACUAAGUCAGACGUGAAAUCCCUCGGCUUAACCGGGGAACUGCGUCUGAUACUGGAUGGCUUGAGUUUGGGAGAGGGAUGCGGAAUUCCAGGUGUAGCGGUGAAAUGCGUAGAUAUCUGGAGGAACACCGGUGGCGAAGGCGGCAUCCUGGACCAACACUGACACUGAGGAGCGAAAGCCAGGGGAGCAAACGGG
rnacentral:rRNA from 1 species